rnacentral:rRNA from 1 species
AGAGUGAACGCUGGCGGCAGGCCUAACACAUGCAAGUCGAACGGCAGCACAGCAGAGCUUGCUCUGUGGGUGGCGAGUGGCGGACGGGUGAGGAUAACGUCGGAAUCUGCCUAUUUGUGGGGGAUAACGUAGGGAAACUUACGCUAAUACCGCAUACGACCUACGGGUGAAAGCGGAGGACCUUCGGGCUUCGCGCAGAUAGGUGAGCCGACGUCGGAUUAGCUAGUUGGCGGGUAAAGCCACCAAGGCGACGAUCCGUAGCUGGUCUGAGAGGAUGAUCAGCCACACUGGAACUGAGACACGGUCCAGACUCCUACGGGAGGCAGCAGUGGGGAAUAGUUGGACAAUGGGCGCAAGCCUGAUCCAGCCAUGCCGCGUGUGUGAAGAGCCUUCGGUAGUAAGCACUUUGUAGGAAGAAGACGCGGAUACACCUGCGUCAUGACGGUACCGUAAGAACUAAGACACCGACUAACUUCGUG